AGAGAGAAAGCAGAGAGAAAGGCAGCUUCGCCCGCCGUUACGUUGCCCUCCUGUGUUUGCAAUGGAUCUGUGGUGUGACCAUCGGGGAGGAAGAGGCGAUCCAGCGAGCGGCCACGCCAGCAUACAUUAAAAGGAGCGCCCAACCUGCCCCCCUCUCCAAGGUCUUGGAUACGGAGGAGGAACAACUGCGAGGGAACUAACUGCCGCUGUGUCUGAAGAAUGGGCCUUCACAUUCCAGCUUGAGCGGAAAGCAGUCAACAAGCAGGAAGCGGGCAUCAUUCCAAGUAGAUUCCUAAGGGGUGCCAACCAGCCAGUGCUAAUUGAAGGUUGCUAUGGUUCCCCCACUCUCGGUCUGAAAAGGCAAUGAAAGAAUCUCCCUCUCUUGGUAACAAGUAGCUUUCCUGGAAUCACUGGAGAAUGAGAUGGCGGUGCUGCCCCUGUGAAUUAUCCCGUUCUACAAGGGCAUCACAGACUACUGUAUAAGGAGGAGGCAGUUGGAAGGCAGGGCCACCUCCUGGACUGGAUGUAAGAAGUCGGGCAGGCAGGUGGAGGCUGAGUUCAGACUGAGGUUAGUGGGGCAGCGCCCCACUCGUCCUACCAGACCAGCCUCCCGUGUUUCCAAGAAUAAUUCAGAGCGUUAAAAGGCUGCAGUUUUAUCGCUGACAUGAAUCGUCAAACAUGUUUCUGAGGCUCCGGACGCCGUACUGAAGGGCCUUCUCUCGGACUUCCUCCUGUGGUAGAUUCACCUUGGUCCGAAAUUCUCCAGGCUUCUUCCGCAGCGUUGCAUUUUGGCAUCGCCAAUGUCCCGCCAUUUUGUUGUGGAUUACUGGCUAGUGGCGCUGGAAGAUGUUGACGUAGCUUCUUGACGACAAAUCUGGAAGGCCGAUUGCGUGCCUCCUCACCUUUUCUUCCUCCUGGCCUGGGGAUUUAUACGUUUACUCUCUUUCCUUCCUUUCUACCUCAAAAGCUGGUUUGAAGAAAAAAAAGUCUAAACAUUUUCCAAAAGCAGAUAUCAAAAAUGACAAGUCUGUUCCGGCGGAGCAGCAGCAAUGGCAGCUCAAGGAACGGCUCCUCUGCCCAGGAACUCAACAACAGCCGCCCAGCGAGGCAAGUCCGGCGGCUGGAAUUCAACCAGGCCAUGGAAGAUUUCAAGACUAUGUUCCCCAACAUGGAUUAUGACAUCAUUGAAUGUGUAUUGAGGGCGAACAAUGGCGCAGUGGAUGCCACCAUUGACCAGCUAUUGCAGAUGAACUUAGACGGCAGCGGGUAUGAUGACAGCUCAGAUUCAGAUGACAGUAUUCCUCCUGAGAUUUUGGAACGGACUCUAGAACCUGACAGUUCAGAUGAAGAGCCGCCUCCGGUUUACUCUCCCCCCUCCUACGACAUGCACGUGUUUGACAGACAGUACCCACAGGCUCCCCCGACACCACCUCCCAGGAAUGAUAUCCAGAAUUCCAGUGGCCCCCAAGCGCAAAGGCGGUACCGGAACUGGAAUCCACCAUUGCUAGGCAACCUUCCUGAUGACUUCCUUCGCAUCUUACCCCAGCAAAUGGAAAAGGUGCAGAGUCCGCAAAGCUGCCACCAUGAAACAGCAAGCCCAGGAAGCCAGAGGGCCCACGGCUCAUUGGACCAGGAGAGGAAGUGGAAGCAGUAUCUAGAAGAUGAGCGGAUCGCACUCGUCCUGCAGAAUGAGGAGUUUAUGAAGGAGCUGCAGAGGAACCGGGAUUUCCUCCUGGCCCUUGAGAGAGAUCGAUUGAAGUAUGAGUCGAAGAAAUCCAAGAUGAGCAGCGUUGCCCUCACUAAUGAUGUUGCUUUCACCUCUGUAAUAUCAGACGAUGUAGCUCGCUCCAGUGGUGCCGUCUCCGAUGAUGCCUUAUUCAGGGACAAAUUAAAACACAUGGGGAAAUCUACACGCAAGAAGCUCUUUGAACUUGCCAGGGCUUUCUCAGAGAAGACCAAAAUGAGGAAAUCGAAAAGAAAACAGUUGUUGAAGCAUCAAGUGAUGGGAACAGCAGCUUCGACAGCUAAUCUUCUUGAUGACGUUGAAGGACAUUCAUGCGGUAAGACGAGAGUCCUGUUUCUAACAUGAAGAAGGCCAAGCAAGAAGACGACAGCUACACACAGAAGAUGAAACAUCAAAAGAAGCACAGUAAGAUCCUGAGCUGGCCAAUAUAUAUAUUUUUAAAGAAAAGGUGAAUAAUGGGAGAAUUAGAAGAUGUCAGAGAAGCACGAUGGGGUCAGGUGCUUUUGUCCUCCUCUGGAGCUGUCAGAUGCUUCCUGAAGCCCAAGCUUUUUAUAAUGCCAGGCACAUGGUUGGUCCUUUCUUAGCAGCUGGGUUCGAAAACAGUUACCGGUUGGUUUUUCCUCCUCCUCCAAUAUGAAGAAUCACCAGCCCAAAAGGAGGAAAGAAACAGCGAUCUGAUUUUACAGCUGACCUGAUUUUUUUUUUCUACGUCAAAUCUUUGCAAACUGCAGAAUGAAUUUUCGAGAUCUUAAGGAUGGGUCAAGGACCUUUCUUUCUUUGUUAUACUGUAGCGUUCAGACGUCUGAACGAAGGGCGGGGGAGAUGCCGUUCAAAUGUGGAUUCUGGCCUGGUGUUUUUAAACCAUAUCUCUUUAACUAACAGAUGACCUUCCUCCAGCCACAGGAUGGCCUCAGAAUUUCAUUGUAUCAUUGAUGAUUAUCAUUACAUAAUUAUUGCUGCUAACAGAAAAUAAGCCCAAAUCAAGAGAUUGGAUGGUCAGGAUGUUAUAAACUUCUCUCCACGUAAAAAAAAAAAAGAGAGUUUCUGCUGAUUCCAACUAACAACCAGAAAUGCCUCACAGUGGAUUUAUCCCCUGCCCUUGGUCCUUGUUUAUUAUUAUUUUUAAAGUGGGCCUCGGAAUUGCCGUCCCUCCGGCUAGAAACCACUUUCAUCCCGUUGCUUCAGCGUGGCCCCGCUCCUAACUAUGUGUUCCUUGUAUUGCUGAAAAUUAUGAUUGGAAAAUAGGAUUGAUGUAAAGGGUUGUAUUCUGUAUGUGUUUCUGUGAAUAAGGCAUUCUUCAUGUGA